rnacentral:lncRNA from 1 species
GUCUAUUUAUUUAUUUAUUUAUUUAUUUUUUCCUAAACACAUGUUAUAGUUUCUUUUCCUGACUACCUAAGCACAAUUUCUUUUAUCACUCUACUGUUGUGAAAUCUUCAUGUUAUUUUAAAAUUCACAUUCUGGAAAUAUUUUGCAAUUUUUAGUUAAAAUUUACAAUAAAUAUCCCCUUUUUUCAAUACAGAUUACAAGAAUACUUACUGGGUGAAACUGCAUGGAAACAGUCUGAAUAAUUUCAUUUAACAAGCCAGAAAGAUUUUCAUAGAAAGUUCAAAGUUUCUUGCCUACUUCUACUAUCACAAUGAUGCACAAAGUCCUUACACUUCUUCAGUGCUCUCCCUGUGGCCCUGGAACACAGACGUGGAAAAAGUCAAGAAGUGCUGACUAAAGAAGCAGCUUAAAGGCAGUAGAUCAAGAGUGAUCAAGAUUGAUUUUUUCCACAGAGGACAGACAGUAAGUAGUUCCCUUACAACUGCAUGGAGUGAACAAAGGCCAUGGAAGAGUAUGUCCCAAGGCUGAGGACCUACUAAUAAUCUAGGGGUCUGGCUGCAGAAAAUAGAGCCAGAGUUCUGGACCCCAGCAAAGCAGCAGUCCUUUAACUUUAAGGAAAAUAAUACUUACCUGUCACAGGAGCACCAAAAGAAUGAGGUAACAGUUAUUAAUAGAAGAGCUUAUCCCAUAAGUAUUUAAAUGCUACUCAUUAAAAAGAAACUCGGACCAGAAUUCAGAAUGAGAGUCAAAACUAUUGCACACUAAUGUGGGAUUUACAUAAGUCAGUCACAAGUUUAGACCAGA